UCUUGGAAAAGACUCUUGGGACUAGCAGUGGAAUCCUUGCUAUUGAUUGGCUGGUUAAAUAGAGGACUAUUAGCUUCAGACAGGCUAGAUUGAUUGUAAGGCAGCAGCAGGAGCUGAGACUCAGAGCUGAGUGAGCGUCAGGGUGAAAAGGAGAGAGAGAGGGGAACGCGAGGUGGAGAGGGAGGCAGUGCACGUUCGUUCCCUAGCAUCGCUCUGUGACUGCCGGUGCUGAAUAUCUUGCUCCGUAGCUGCCCCAGUCAACAACUUACUGAGGUGCCUUUUCUUUUACAAGAGGAUGUCUGCUUUGAGCCCCAGCAAGAAAUAGCAGACUUCACCUUGGAAUAGUUCGUCUCACUCCUGCGUCAUUAAAGAGGAUCUUGAAAAGGAAACAAAAAUCAAGUCUCCCUUCCAGCCCCACUUUGUUCCAGAAUUGAACAGAAACAGUUUUGUGCUCCAGGAAACCUCCAAACCGUCGUCCAAACUGGCUUUGCCAUUCUGCAUUCCCGUCAGCAAUGAGUGAGCAUUCUUGUUGCUCUACCCCCUCACCAGCAUUUGUAUUUUCAGUGCUCUGCUCUUUGGCCUUUCUAAUAGCCCUGAGCUAACAUCUGUCACCAAUCCUCCUCUGUUUUACUGAGGGAGACUGGUCCUGAGCUAAUAUCUGUGCCCAGCUUCCUCUACUUUGUAUGUGGGAUGCCUGCCACAGCAUGGCUUCACAAAUGGUGCAUAAGUCUGCAACUGGGAUCCAAACUGGUGAAGCCCAAGCCGCCAAAGUGGAAUGUGUGAACUUAACCACUGUGCCAAAAGGCUGGCCCAAAAUUUUCUUCAUUUUGAAUGGUGUAUACUACAUUGCUACAUUACUUUAAUAUCAGUGUUGAAAAAUUACCAGUUAUACUUGCUGUUUAUGAUCUAUUUGGACAGUAAGAUAUAUAUUUUACAUAUAUUAUAUAUAUAUAUAUAUUUUUAUCUGUCUUUGCCCUAAAUUGAAUUGUAAAUGUGUCAGAUCUUCCACUAAGUGGUCAUCCUGUCUUUUCAUUGAAUAGCUCAAGUUAUUGGAAGCUGAAUAAAACGUGUCUGAUUGUUAUAAAGUUACUCAUAUCAAGCCAGAGUAUGUGUCUCUGUAAUUUUCAUUCCUUGGUCUUACAGUUUUCCCUGGGUCCAUGCAGCAAGUGUCUCAUGGUUCUACAUGUGAUUUCCUCUUUUGUUUGAGCUAUGUUCAUGUUAAACUUCACCAUCCUGGUCACUCCCCUUUCAACGUUUUUCCCUAUGGUGCCAUUAAAAUAUGAUAACUAGAACUGAAUACAAUGGUCCAGAUUUGGACUUAUCCAUGAAGGAUAAAGGAUGUAGCAUCUCCCUAAUUUGAAACACAACACUUUUGCUAAUGAAGACAUAUACUGAUUUUUUUUGUGGCUACAAAGCAAUUUAUUGAAUUUAAUGACAAUGAAAAUCUCUGAGUUUCUUUUACAUAUGUUGCUCCUAAAGUAUAUCUCCACCAUCAUGUUUUUAUAUAACUAUCAUGAUAGAAAAUUCUCAUUCUUAUUUUCUUUAGUCUCGGAUUUUGUUGUCCAAUCUCUUGAUGCAAUUAAUUGUUUAGCUUACAUUGUUUUGGAUUUCUUCACAUCCAAACUCCAAUCUAUGUUAUUUUUAUAUUUUCUAUAAAAUGUUAUUUUAUUUUCUCUAUAAAAUUAUGUGUGAAGCAAAAAAACCUAAUAAAAUAUUUCUCAUGAAACUGAUAA
rnacentral:lncRNA from 1 species